rnacentral:rRNA from 1 species
UACGAAGGGUGCAAGCGUUACUCGGAAUUACUGGGCGUAAAGCGUGCGUAGGUGGUUCGUUAAGUCUGUCGUGAAAGCCCCGGGCUCAACCUGGGAAUGGCGAUGGAUACUGUCGGGCUAGAGUGCGGAAGAGGCGAGUGGAAUUCCUGGUGUAGCGGUGAAAUGCGCAGAUAUCAGGAGGAACACCUAUUGCGAAGGCAGCUCGCUGGGACGUUACUGACGCUGAGACGCGAAAGCGUGGGGAGAAAACAGG